UACGUAGGGUGCAAGCGUUAAUCGGAAUUACUGGGCGUAAAGCGUGCGCAGGCGGUUUUGUAAGUCUGUCGUGAAAUCCCCGGGCUCAACCUGGGAAUUGCGAUGGAGACUGCAAGGCUAGAAUCUGGCAGAGGGGGGUAGAAUUCCACGUGUAGCAGUGAAAUGCGUAGAGAUGUGGAGGAACACCGAUGGCGAAGGCAGCCCCCUGGGUCAAGAUUGACGCUCAUGCACGAAAGCGUGGAGAGCAAACAGG
rnacentral:rRNA from 1 species